rnacentral:rRNA from 1 species
GGAAUAUUGCACAAUGGGGGCAACCCUGAUGCAGCAAUGCCGCGUGAGUGAAGAAGGCUUUCGAGUUGCAAAGCUCUUUUCUGUGGGACGAGAGAGGACGGUACCACAGGCAUAAGUCCCGGCUAACUACGUGCCAGCAGCCGCGGUAAGACGUAGGGGGCAAGCGUUAUCCGGAAUUACUGGGCGUAAAGCGCGUGUAGGCGGUCUGUGCCGUUGGGUGUGAAAGCUCCCGGCUUAACUGGGAGAGGUCAUCCAAGACCCACAGACUUGAGUGAGGUAGAGGAGCACAGAAUUCCUGGUGUAGUGGUGGAAUGCGUAGAUAUCAGGAGGAAUACCAGUGGCGAAAGCGGUGCUCUGGGCCUUAACUGACGCUGAGAGGCGAAAGCGUGGGGAGCGAA